AGAGUUUUAUCCUGGCUCAGGAUGAACGCUAGCGACAGGCUUAACACAUGCAAGUCGAGGGGCAGCGGGGGAGCAGCUUUGCUCCCGCCGGCGACCGGCGCACGGGUGAGUAACACGUAUGGAACCUGCCCGCAGCAGGGGGAUAAGCGGAAGAAAUUCCGUCUAAUACCGCGUAGCACCGCGGAGGGGCAUCCCUGGGGGGUUAAAGAUUCAUCGGCUGCGGAUGGCCAUGCGGCGCAUUAGCUAGUCGGCGGGGUAACGGCCCACCGAGGCGACGAUGCGUAGGGGUUCUGAGAGGAAGGUCCCCCACACUGGUACUGAGACACGGACCAGACUCCUACGGGAGGCAGCAGUGAGGAAUAUUGGUCAAUGGCCGGGAGGCUGAACCAGCCAAGUCGCGUGAGGGAAGACGGCCCUACGGGUUGUAAACCUCUUUUGUCAGGGAGCAAGAGGCGGGUCGGGACCUGCUGUGAGAGUACCCGAAGAAAAAGCAUCGGCUAACUCCGUGCCAGCAGCCGCGGUAAUACGGAGGAUGCGAGCGUUAUCCGGAUUUAUUGGGUUUAAAGGGUGCGCAGGCGGAGGCACAAGUCAGCGGUAAAAUCGCGGGGCUCAACCCCGCUCCGCCGUUGAAACUGUGUCCCUUGAGUGCGCGAAGGGUAGGCGGAAUGCGUGGUGUAGCGGUGAAAUGCAUAGAUAUCACGCAGAACUCCGAUCGCGAAGGCAGCCUACCGGCGCGCAACUGACGCUCAUGCACGAAAGCGUGGGUAUCGAACAGGAUUAGAUACCCUGGUAGUCCACGCAGUAAACGAUGAAUGCAAUCUGUCCGGCCGGAAUGACGGCUGGGUGGCACAGCGAAAGCGUUAAAGCAUUCCACCUGGGGAGUACGCCGGCAACGGUGAAAACUCAAAGGAAUUGACGGGGGCCCGCACAAGCGGAGGAACAUGUGGUUUAAUUCGAUGAUACGCGAGGAACCUUACCCGGGCUCAAACGACACAGGGAUGCCGCCGAAAGGUGGCAGUCUUUCGGGCCCCCCCCCCGAGGUGCUGCAUGGUUGUCGUCAGCUCGUGCCGUGAGGUGUCGGCUUAAGUGCCAUAACGAGCGCAACCCCCAUCUUCAGUUGCCAUCAGGUAGAGCUGGGCACUCUGGAGAGACUGCCGGCGCAAGCUGCGAGGAAGGCGGGGAUGACGUCAAAUCAGCACGGCCCUUACGUCCGGGGCGACACACGUGUUACAAUGGCAGGUACAGCGGGAAGCCACGCGGCGACGCCGAGCGGAACCCGAAAACCUGUCUCAGUUCGGAUCGGAGUCUGCAACCCGACUCCGUGAAGCUGGAUUCGCUAGUAAUCGCGCAUCAGCCAUGGCGCGGUCCAUACAGGCCCGGGCCUUGUACUCCCCGCCCGUCA
rnacentral:rRNA from 1 species